rnacentral:rRNA from 1 species
GACGAGCGCUGGCGGCGUGCUUAACACAUGCAAGUCGAACGGAAAGGCCCUGCUUUUGUGGGGUGGUAGAGUGGCGAACGGGCGAGUAACACGUGAGUAACCUGACCUUGACUUUGGGGUAACUUCCGGAAAGUGGGGCUAAUACCGGAUAGGAGCUCCUGUUGCAUGGUGGUGGUUGGAAAGUUUGGGCGGUUGUGGAAGGACCCGGGGCUUAUCCGUUUGUUGGUGGGGGUGGGGCUUACCAUAGCUUCGGCUGGUGGCCUGGCUGAGUGGGUGGCCGGGCACAUUGGGACUGGGGAACGGGCCAGAAUCCUACGGGGGGCAACAGGGGGGAAUAUUGCACAAUGGGCGGAAGCCUGAUGCAGCAACGCCGCGGGCGGGAUGACGGCCUUCGGGUUGUAGACCGCUUUCGCCUGUGACGAAGCGUGAGUGACGGUAAUGGGUAAAGAAGCACCGGCUAACUACGUG